rnacentral:rRNA from 1 species
UCGAAAGCCUGUCUCAGUUCGGAUUGGAGGCUGAAACCCGCCUCCAUGAAGUUGGAUUCGCUAGUAAUCGCGCAUCAGCCAUGGCGCGGUGAAUACGUUCCCGGGCCUUGUACACACCGCCCGUCAAGCCAUGGGAGCCGGGGGUGCCUGAAGUUCGUGACCGCAAGGAGCGACCUAGGGCAAAACUGGUGACUGGGGCUAAGUCGUAACAAGGUACC